rnacentral:lncRNA from 1 species
AUGUGUGUAUGGUGCCUGGGGACCCCAGGGCUCCCUCCCGUGACAGCCCCGAGGUGGGGGUGCUGGGGGCACAGGGGCUUGGAGCGGGGUGGUGCCAGACGGGAGACACCCUGUGUCCUAGGAGGUGGGGCCUGCGGAUCUGCCGAUGGCUUGCAGGUGCGGGGAGGGAAAGCACGGAGGCCCUGGGGCCCUUGGGGUUCAGGUGGCAUUUGCUGGAAGGGGGCGCUCUGGGAGGAGCAGGUUCAGAGCCGGAGGAUGUUGGGAAGUAUUGGGGUGACCGUGUCCACCGGGGGUCCGGGGGGGUUAAGCGGGGUGGAUGGUGGAGGUGCCCAUCCCCCUGGAUGCAGGACCGGGUCCUCAGGCACCGCCUUAGUGGCCAGGCCGUCUGGAGACACAGGCUCGGGGUGCUCCAGCCUUGGGGGCAGCGCCAGGACCUGUGGCCCCCGUGGCCAGGGGAGAGGGGGAUGCCUGUCGCCGUGGCCUCCAUCCUCAGCCUCCGGGGGAGUCGGCGUCUACACCCGCGCUCCUGCAGUGUAUCACUGUGGGGAAGGGCUCAUUACAGAGGGGCAGGUGCACAGGUUCCACCCCGGAGGGACCCUCAUCUCUGACAUGUGGGUGGCGCGUGGGGGCCCAGGGGCACGACCCCUGGGACGUGCGGACAGCGGCUGGCGUCCUGUGCUCCAGGUCCAGGUGCCCAGCUGGCUGCAAGGAUGCCGAGGAACCCCACGACUGUGGGCCGGGGAGCGGCGGCGGCACCGGGACCCACGCCCCGGCCCUCGCGGUCCCCUGUGCACCCCCGGCCCAGGACCCCGUGAAAUCCCCUGCGCGUGGUCCCCCUUCGCUGGGGCUUCCAGGUGGUUUUCACCUAUUCUAGCCCGACCGAGCUGGGAGGCCGCUUUCCUCGGACGCCCCGCGGCCCCCGCAGUGGGUUUAACACCGGCGGCUCGCGUGGCAGAGGGAUGGUGUCCCGGGACCUCGGGGGCGAGCACGGCUACUUGGAGCUGCUGUUUCUGCAGCUGUGCCCACGGACGCCGAGGCUGGGGGGGGGCCACGGUGUCCAGAGUCUCAGGGCACGCAGGGAGGCCUGGGGUCGGCCCUGCCUCUGCUCCUCCCUGA